rfam:Magnaporthe oryzae 70-15 chromosome 7, whole genome shotgun sequence.
GCCCGUAUAGCUCAGUGGUAGAGCGCAUCACUCGUAUCCCGACGACAUGAUGAGGUCCUUAGUUCGAUCCUGGGUGCGGGCA